UUUUAGGUUGUUGGGAUACAGCUAGCAAGUUCAAAGAAUAUGUAGGUUCUUUCCGGGGGUUCUGUGGAUCGAGGUGCUUGUUUGCACAUGAUUUUGCCUUUUUUUAAAAAAAAUUCUGGUAGAUUAUGUAGAAUCAUGGAUCGAUAAUGAUUGCAUUGCUUGAAUUAAGGGGAAGGGAUCAAAGGGUUGCUCCAUGUGCCGAUGUGGUACUGGGUUCUAGGCACAGAUCCACCUCCUAAGCCGGAGAAAAUAAGGUGCACCAAAGCCAGGAUCAGUGCCUGUAGUAUUGGUUUUUCCUUCUAUUGACAAUAUAAGAACUGGCAUAUAUCGAUCAGGUCUUUGCAAUGUACGAGUGGGCAACUUGAAAGGACUGAAAUAAUAAGCAAUUUUAUCUCAUGCUAGAAAUUGUAGUAUAUUGAAGAA